UUUUUCUCACCUCAGUUUCAUGAAUAUUCAUAGUUCAAAAAGCCACGAUGAUCUUAAAGGAUAAUCUAAACAAAUAAUACGCUUUUCUUUCUAGCCAAAUCCGAGACUUGAAUGUUCAGAAUUGAAACGCCUUAGCAACAUACACAACGUAAAUAUCCGCUGGAAACCGACCAGAAAAUCUAAUUAGAAAAGGCGAGACAAAGUGA
ensembl:ncRNA D2023.10 ncRNA